AGGANGGAAAACGUGCGCAGGGAAAUAACCGUGGGAGGGAAGGGUGGGGAUGACNUCAAAUCAUUCAUGCCCCUUAUGAUCUCGAGGGUCUAACAACACGUGUCUACAAUGGCGUAAAACAAAGGGAGGCAAAGACCGGCGGAGGCGGAGCAAAUCCCAAAAAUAACGUCUCAUUUCGGAUUGUAGUCUGCAACUCGACUACAUGAAGCUGGAAUCGUCUAUUAAUCGCGAAUCAAAUGUCGCGGUGAAUACGUUCCCGGGUCUUGUACACCCGGG
rnacentral:rRNA from 1 species